rnacentral:rRNA from 1 species
GAUGAACGCUGGCGGCGUGCCUAAUACAUGCAAGUCGAACGAACAGACGAGGACCUUGCGCCUCCGAUGUUAUCGGCGGACGGGUGAGUAACAUGUGGAUAACCUAACUAUAAGACUGGGGUAAUUUCGGGAAACCGUAGCUAAUACCGGAUAACAUGUUGAACCGCAUGGGUCAACAGUGAAAGACGGUCUUUCUGUGACUUAUAGCUGGAUCCGGGCCGCAUUAGCUAGUUGGUAAGGUAACGGCUUACCAAGGCAACGACGCGUAGCCGACCUGAGAGGGUGGUCGGCCACACGGUAAGAGAGACACAGUCGAGACUCCUACGGGGGGAAACAGUAGGGAAUCCUCCGCGAUGGGGGAGUGGCGGACAGUGCAACGCGGGGUGAGUGAAGAAGGAGCUAGGAUCGGAGAGCUAUGUUGUUAGGAGAGAACUAAUGUGUAAGUACCUGUGCAGGUAUUGACGGUACCGAAACAAAAAGCCACGGCUAACUCCGUG